rnacentral:lncRNA from 1 species
UUUGAGAUUUUCUAAUAACAAGCAUCGGUUAACACUCACAGAUUUUGCCAAUAUCAAAUUGGGGCAGAAAAAUUUCUUUUGUUUUUUCUGUUUUUGUUGAAAUCAGGAGCCCACCUGAAUAACCAGGGAGGACAACACGAGUUUCAAGAAUAGAAAGCAGUUCGUGUUCAAGCGAUCAGGCACCCACCUGGAGAAACAAGGGAAGAUGGUUCAAAGAAAAGCAGUUUCAAGAAGGGGACAAUUCAGUGUUUGAAAUCAAGCACCCACCUGGAAAACAAAGGGAUAGCAAUUCACAUUUUGGAAAUCAGGCGCCCACCUAGAGAACAAAGGGAUAGCAGUUCACAUUUUGGAAAUCAGGCGCCCACCUGGAGAACAAAGGGAAGACAGUUCAAGUGCUGGAAAUCAGACACUCACCUGGAGAACAGAGGGAAAACAGUUCAAGUGUUGGUAAUCAAGCGCCCACCUGGAGAACAAAGGGAAAGCAGUUUAAGUUUUGGAAAUCAAGCACCCACCUGAAGAACAAAGGGAAAGUAGUUCAAGUGAUGGUAAUCAGGCG